GACGAACGCUGGCGGCGGGCCUAAUACAUGCAAGUAGAACGCAGUGGCGAACGGGUGAGUAAAGCGUAGGUAACUGCCUCAUAGCGGGGGAUAACUUUUGGAAACGAUAGCUAAUACCGCAUACUGGGAGCUGGACCUGCGUUGUAUUUGCCAGUUGGUGAGGUAAAGGCUCACCAAGGCGACGAUACCUAGCCGAGCUGAGAGGGUGAUCGGCCACACCGGGAAUGAGAAACGGCUCAGACUCCCAAGGGAGGGAGCAGUAGGGAAACUUCGGAAAUGGAGGGAAGUCUGACCGAGCAACGCCGCGGGAUUGAAGAAGGUUUUCGGAGCGUAAAGCUCUGUUGUUAGAGAAGCGGUAACUAAACAGAAAGGACCGGCUAACUACGUGCCAGCAGCCGCGGUAAUUC
rnacentral:rRNA from 1 species